rnacentral:rRNA from 1 species
GAUGAACGCUGGCGGCGUGCCUAAUACAUGCAAGUCGAGCGAACAGAUGAUGAGCUUGCUCCUCUGACGUUAGCGGCGGACGGGUGAGUAACACGUGGAUAACCUACCUAUAAUUCUGGGAUAACUUCGGGAAACCGGUGCUAAUACCGGAUAAUAUAUUGAACCGCAUGGUUCAAUAGUGAAAGACGGUUUUGCUGUCACUUAUAGAUGGAUCCGCGCCGCAUUAGCUAGUUGGUAAGGUAACGGCUUACCAAGGCAACGAUGCGUAGCCGACCUGAGAGGGUGAUCGGCCACACUGGAACUGAGACACGGUCCAGACUCCUACGGGAGGCAGCAGUAGGGAAUCUUCCGCAAUGGGCGAAAGCCUGACGGAGCAACGCCGCGUGAGUGAUGAAGGUCUUCGGAUCGUAAAACUCUGUUAUUAGGGAAGAACAAAUGUGUAAGUAACUAUGCACGUCUUGACGGUACCUAAUCAGAAAGCCACGGCUAACUACGUG